rnacentral:rRNA from 1 species
AGUCACGUAGUUUGAUCAUGCNCAGANACGCUGGCGGCAUGCCUAACACAUGCAAGUCGAACGAGACCUUCGGGUCUAGUGGCGCACGGGUGCGUAACACGUGGGAAAUUUGCCUCGGGGUAUGGAAUAACUCAGGGAAACUUGAGCUAAUACCAUAUAAUGUCUUCGGACCAAAGAUUUAUCGCCCUGAGAUAAGCCCGCGUAGGAUUAGCUAGUUGGUGGGGUAAAGGCUCACCAAGGCGACGAUCCUUAGCUGGUCUGAGAGGAUGAUCAGCCACACUGGGACUGAGACACGGCCCAGACUCCUACGGGAGGCAGCAGUGGGGAAUAUUGGACAAUGGGCGAAAGCCUGAUCCAGCAAUGCCGCGUGAGUGAUGAAGGCCUUCGGGUUGUAAAGCUCUUUUACUCGGGACGAUAAUGACGGUACCGAGAGAAUAAGCCCCGGCUAACCCCGUG